ensembl:lncRNA
CGGGGGUACCUAGACCAGACAGGGGAAGACAGGCUAGGGCAGACAGUGAACAGAUCGCCAGAUGGAAUCCAAGCAGCAGUGGAGCAGGCAAUGGGAGUCACACCCGCUUGGGAUAAGCUUUUUUCUGGAGAUAUAUCUCUUCAGUUUCGGCGAAUGGUCCUUUACGAUGUCCAAACAAAGUUGUCCUGUGGCUGUUGUAUCUUGGAGAUUGCAAGGAGGAUAUCUUCUGAUGUGGAGGUCUGGUUAUGAAGAACCCUACUGGAGUCCGAUGGGCUUUCAGCAUUAGGGGUCCUGAGAGGAACUUCCCUACCUGCUCACUCGUAAGAAGCUCACUUGUUUCUUAGAGCUGAAUUGCAUUUGAGGACACUUUUGAUUAUGGUGUUUUCCCGCUAAUGGAACAUUUGCACUUAAAGCCUACUAUGUGCACAUUGCUGCGCUUAUAAUGUGAAGAAAUAUUGUAGCCUGUAAGAAAGGCCAUAUCAUGUGAUGGAGACCCAUGUGAGUGAGAGGUGCUUCAGAGUGCGCAGCACUCAAGGAGAAGGGCACAACGGUCACUGCCCACAAAAAGCAUGGAUUUUUUUAGGGAGCAUUACGGCCACAAAGGGGAUGCUGCCGUGAAAUUUGAGGCAUUAUCAAGGGAUGGUCAAAUUGUGAAUGAGAGACUGUUGACGUGUGUACAGCCUGCGCCAAAAAACACAAAGCAGAGCUUAUGCCUUUCAAGUGACUUUUUCAAGCGACGAGUCGCAUCAUGCAGCCUUUCAAUGUAUUAAAAAUCAAAACAUAUAGCCCAAUGUAUGUAGAACAACUAAAGUUACAUGAAUAACUCUAAAUUAAGCAUAUAGGAGUUCCUAUUUCAUUGUUAAACACCUCAAUAUAGAAUAGCCGAAUGUGCGCACUCCCUCAAAUCGUUUGGAGAAAAUAUUUAUAUUUUAUUCAGCUAUGUUCAAUUGUAUUCUUCAUACUAUAAAAUAAUAUAAAACACUUCCACGGAAUUCUAAGCAAAUCUUGUUUGCUAAAUGAAGUAGUGUAGCCUACAGCCAUUUGGCAUAGCCAGAUUAGGACCUAAAAUGAGGAAAACUCAAGAGUAUGCUAUUCUGUUCUUCUGAAAUAGACUACGUUUUCUUCAUAUCAUCCUUCUUUAGACCGGUCUAAAAUAAAUACUGGAUAUAUUGUGAAGGUGUUGGCUCUAUUACAUGGAUUUACUAGACUUUUUAAAAUGUAGAUGUUCCAAAGGUUUACAUCUGUCACGACUUCCGGCGGCACUCGGUGGUCGUCGUCACCGGUCUACUAGCUGCCACCAAUCCCUUUUUCCUUUUCUGUUUGUUAUGUCUGUAUUGAAUUCACCUGUUCCUUGUUUGAGAUUUGUUUUAGGGCUAUUUAAGCCGGUUGUUUUCUGUUUGUCUGUGGAUGGUUGUGUGUAGUAUGUUCUCUGACCUUUUUGGUGUCCCGUUUUGGGUUGGUCAUAUUUUGUUCGCCUGUUGUGUUGACCACUUACCCAUUUACCGAAAUAAAGUCGGUUUUCUAUGAACCCUCUGCUCUCUGCGCCUGACUCCGCACUCACCACUCCUAGCUGUGUGACAACAUCAGUGACUUGUGUGGAAACCAGGAGAUGAGACCGUGAGACGACGGUUAUUUGGUGACAAGCACCGGCUGACA